rnacentral:rRNA from 1 species
UACGUAGGCAGCAAGCGUUGUUCGGAGUUACUGGGCGUAAAGGGUGUGUAGGCGGUUCUUUAAGUUUGGUGUGAAAUCUCCCGGCUCAACUGGGAGGGUGCGCCGAAUACUGAGGGACUAGAGUACGGGAGAGGAAAGUGGAAUUCCUGGUGUAGCGGUGAAAUGCGUAGAUAUCAGAAGGAACAUCAGUGGCGAAGGCGGCUUUCUGGACCAAUACUGACGAUCAGGUGCGAAAGCGUGGGGAGCAAACAGG